rnacentral:rRNA from 1 species
UAAGAGUUUUUUAUAUAAGGGCUAGCUCCGCGUUGCCUCGCUAGCGUAGCUAAGGUAGGUGAGGCCUAAGCUCCACGUCUCUCCUCGGCUAACUAGGUCAGGCCUAAGCUCGUGGCGAUGCCGGCUCCACUCCCUACCUAGCUCAGGUAGGCACGCGACCCUAGUUCGCUUCCUAAGCCUACGUUGGCUACGCGAGCUCGCAGCUGCCACAGCUCGCCUCCGUCCACUAAGCCCAGGUCGGCUCCGCGGGAUCGCGCGUUACCCUAGCUCACGUCUUGGCGGCCGCCGCGUUCCUAAUUCCGGCUACCAGAAGUAGCUCAUUGUCAAGUAGCUCCACCGCUACGGCUAUCUCUCUCGGAAUCAAUACCACAUCCGCCCGCUAAUCAUGUUCCUCCGCCACGUUUGCCGAGUUCCUAUGUUUCCACCUACACGUCCUACUUCGCUGCCACAGAGCGACCACGCUCUCCUCCUCCGCCCCCCACUGGUGAUGUGAUCGUUGGAGCAGCCGCGUUCUCAUUGUCAUGUGUAGCUUUUCGCGGAUCCAUCCUGCCAUUACAGCUCCUACGUUCCUCCUUCUCCUAUACACACGGCGAGAAAGAAUGGUACUAACAUAAGAACCAAGUAAAUGUAUAUACAUACACGAGCAUAAAGGGUUUACUACUGAUGUUAAGAACGUAAAAAAAACAGUCUACUACCAAACACAAACCGAGAGCUCAGAGCAUAGACAUCAAAGUCACAUCGUCAAGUAUAACCAUAGUCGAAAUCGGUAAUGCUGACAUCAAACGUAAUCACGAAUCGUUACGAAGUUUAUAGGCUGCGGGAGGGGUACGACGGAACGAAGUAAAGAACGUUGGCUCGCCAUAGACACCGCCAGCUCGAGGUAGGGUCACAUCGCGAGAGCGCGAAGGUGAGGCGGGCUGUCGUUACAUCCUUAUUAACCACUCGUACUUCUAGGAAGCAACGAUGUAGACAAGGAUGGGGUCGACAGGUAGCUAAACCUUCGAUGCACUACCGACAAGUUGUUGGACCGUUAGUCCGUCAUAGCGGUGGCGGGCCGCGGUUACGUGGUGCGUUUAAUAAGGAGGGUGGAGGAGGUCCGGGUUGGACAAC